rnacentral:lncRNA from 1 species
AUCCACCUGCCUGGGCCUCCCAAAGUGCUGGGAUUACAGGCGUAAGCCACCGCGCCCAGCCAAGUAAAAUUAAAUAUUCUUGUAUUCUUUUUAUAUCUCUGGAAAAGUAUUAAAUACAUUCUUCCAGAAAAACCUUCGCUGAAGGGCUUGGCUGGACUAGUUUCCCACAGCUUAUCCUAGGGCCUCUGGGUAGAAUUGUUUUUCUUUAUUGUGUGGAUAGAUCAGACUCAGUACGGAGACCAACAGGCUCUCUGUCUUCUCCUCAGAAGCAACUGGGAUUCUCCAGAGCAGUCAUAAGGUGACAGAAAGGCCCCAGAACAGAUGUUUCGUGUGUGACAGAGCCUCCAGGGAGACGACUCUGUUGCUUUAACAGUGCUAAUGAGGCCAGGUUGCCAGUGGGUCCUCACCUGAGCCAGUUACUUAUUUAUAUGACUCCAUCUUAUUCCUCAAAGGGUUUAAAGUGCCCUGUUUGGGCCAGGUGUCUUCACACUGAGAAAAGCGGCGUUCCACGGUCACAGCCAGAGGUGCUUCCUGUGCUCCUAGGUUUCAUCUCUUCUGAGCACCUGAUGAAAAGCAUUGGCUGUCAGUGCAGGCACUUAGAAGAGAGGCAAUGUGCACAGAGCCGAGUGCCCCAGCCUGCACUUCCCCACCUGUGUGACCUUGUGCACGUAACCUGACUUCUCUGUGCCUCAAUG